CUGCAAUCCUCCUGCCUCAGCUUCACGAGUACUGGGAUGACAGGGUGAAAAAAGAUGAACUAAAAUGUAGAGUAUGGCAAAUGGAUCAGAAGGAAGGAGAAAGAUGACAUCGAGCUGCGAGGUGGAAGAGCGAUGAAAAACUGCAGGACACCCUCCACAUGCAGGCACGAGUCCUCGGAUGGGUCACAAGAGCCUGCAGCAUCGACAGUUGGGUUCUGGUGCAUUCCAUCAAAGGAAAAGGAGAGGCCCCGCCGCAGAGACUCAUUAAGGCUUUAAAACUCAGCUCAAAUUGCAUGCCUCUAAAGCAGAAAAAAAAAAAAAGCAAUGAAUAAGAAUAGGAUUAAAGAAGGACACCCUGCACAGAAAUGAUAAGCAACAGAUCUUUUCAAAAUGUAAUCUGCUUGGAAGCUUGAUGUUCAGCUCAUUGGUCAGAGUUUGGAACUGUGGAUACUUAGGGCUAACUAGCUUUGCCUUUUGAUUUGUGCUAUCUGAGUAUUUAAAUAUCUCAAUUAUUUUUCAGCUUAGGGGAGAAGUUUUUAAAGAGUAGCGAUUCCUCAGCAUACGUGUGAUUUUCUGUCCUUGUGUGAUUUAAAAAUCUGCCCAAUUAAGUGACUACAAGCUGUACAAAGUAUGCUAGACAGGCUUUGCUCAUUUAGCUCUGACUUGUGACACUGAGGACUGUUACUGAGUAACGCGCAUUUUAAAUUCCUCAUUUGGAAACCAGCGUGUUUGCUGAGGAUCAUUUUCUCCAACAUGAACAUCUCGGCCCUCAGUGUGCUUCACCCAUCCGCACGCACCUGCCCGCUUCUCUCUUAGCCUGUGUUCUUACAAUGCUGCAGGCUCACGCCAUCCUCUCUCCCUUAUCCUCCUGGCCCUUGGUCUGAAAUUCUACUCCCUUCCUUAUUGUUCUCAUCAAAACCUUAUCCCCUGAUUCAAGUUUUCUUGAGCCACAGUGCCAAAAGUUUUUCUUGCUGUCAUUGUCCUCCUGCUUGUGACUAUUGGCAGUUAUAGCAUAGCUCGUGUUGGCUGAGGACAAUCCUUCCUCACUGUGACUCACCUCAUACCUCAAUGUUCCCCAACACCCCUUGCAAAAAUACUCAGCAGCUGCCAACUCAAUGUGACAAGUAUUGCAGGGGUAAAAUUGGAAAAGCUCAAGAUAAAGGAAGACUAUGGGCAGAAACACUAGUGUGAACAGAAGUGCGAACUGGGGGGAAGGGAAGAGGGGAGGGAGCUUCAGUUUCUUUGUGACUUGGGGCAGGGAGGAGGUAGAGGUUUGUGGUACAAGAGGGACAGCAUGCUCUGAGUUGAGUUCCUCAGAGCUUUCUCCUCAUUGCCUGGGAUCCUCUGGCUUCCCUGCACUGGGAAGAGGAGCCUUGGGCUAUGGGGAGGGAGGUGCGAAGGAAGUGGCUGCAGUUUAUCUGAACUUCUCUAAAUAAAGUACCUGCACAAUGCUUGA